rnacentral:rRNA from 1 species
AUUGAACUCUGGCGGCAGGCCUAACACAUGCAAGUCGAACGCGUUGCGGACGGGUGAGUAAUGUCUGGUAAACUGCCUGAUGGAGGGGGAUAACUACUGUAAACGGUAGCUAAUACCGCAUACCAUCGGAUGUGUCCAGAUGGGAUUAGCUAGUAGGUGGGGUAAAGGCUCACCUAGGCGACGAUCCCUAGCUGGUCUGAGGGGAUGACCAGGCACAAUGGAACUGUGACAAGGUCCAGACUCCUACGGGAGGCAGCAGUGGGGUAUAUUGCAGAAGGGGGGCAAGCCUGAUGCAGCCAUGCCGCGUGUAUGAAGAAGGCCUUCGGGGUGUAAAGUACUUUCAGCGGGGAGGCGUUACCCGCAGAAGAAGCACCGGCUAACUCCGUGCCAGCCGCCGCGGUAAUUC